ensembl:misc_RNA Metazoa_SRP Metazoan signal recognition particle RNA
GCCAGGCGCAGUGGCACGUGCCUGUAGUUCCAGUUACUCGGGAGGCUGAAGCUGGAGGAUCGCUUGAACCCAGGAGUUCUGGACUGUAGUGCGCUAUGCCAACCGGGUGUCUGCCCUAAGUUCAGCAUCAAUACGGUGACCUCCUGGGAGCUGGGGACCACCAGGUUGCCUAAGGAGGGGUGAACCAGCCCAGGUCAGAAACAGAGCAGGUCAAAACUCCCAUGCUGAUGAGUAAUGGGAUCCUGCCUGUGAAUAGCCACUUCUCUCCAGCCUGGGCAACAGAGCAAGAUCCCAUCUCU